UACGGAGGGGGCAAGCGUUAUCCGGAUUUAUUGGGCUUAAAGGGUCCGUAGGCGGUUCUGUAAGUCAGUGGUGAAAUCUCAUAGCUUAACUAUGAAACUGCCAUUGAUACUGCAGGUCUUGAGUAAGGUAGAAGUAGCUGGAAUAAGUAGUGUAGCGGUGAAAUGCAUAGAUAUUACUUAGAACACCAAUUGCGAAGGCAGGUUACUAUGUCGUAACUGACGCUGAUGGACGAAAGCGUGGGGAGCGAACAGG
rnacentral:rRNA from 1 species